rnacentral:rRNA from 1 species
UAAUACGAAGGUGGCAAGCGUUGUUCGGAUUUACUGGGCGUACAGGGAGCGUAGGCGGUUGGGUAAGCCCUCCGUGAAAUCUCCGGGCCUAACCCGGAAAGUGCGGAGGGGACUGCUCGGCUAGAGGAUGGGAGAGGAGCGCGGAAUUCCCGGUGUAGCGGUGAAAUGCGUAGAGAUCGGGAGGAAGGCCGGUGGCGAAGGCGGCGCUCUGGAACAUUUCUGACGCUGAGGCUCGAAAGCGUGGGGAGCAAACAGGAUUAGAUACCCUGGUAGUCCACGCCUUAAACGAUGGAUACUAAGUGUCGGCGGGUUACCGCCGGUGCCGCAGCUAACGCAUUAAGUAUCCCGCCUGGGAAGUACGGCCGCAAGGUUGAAACUUAAAGGAAUUGACGG